AUUGACCGCACCUGGAGGGGGCCGGGAUGAGGGGGCCCACGGCCUGUGGCAGCGUGCACCGCUAUCCUAGUUGGCAGGAAGCCCUUCCCUGAAGACUGUACAAAACGCGCGAGGGAGGGAGAUGCUCAGAACCAGGCACGCAAGACACAGGCACCCCCGAAGUUGGCCUUCUGCUAAACCAAACACCCACUCCCACCUCCUUGGCUAGCAGGGUCUGCGGUCGGCCCCAGGUCCUCCACUCUCCGCUCGGCCCUGAGGCCAAAGGCUACAGAAACAGGCUUCUUUCCCCAACAGCUCGGCUGGGAGGGGCAGCCUGGGACGACUUCUCCCGCCCAGUGUCCUGCAGCCGCAUUCAGGGAGCUCUUCCUGAGCAGCCGCACCUCUGCUCCCAGAGGGCGGGGGUGGGACGUUUGUGGCCCAGCAGAGUCUGGGACGCUCGACAGGCUGCAAAGGAGACGAAGGUCUACAGGACAGGCAGCCCCAGCUAGGGAGUCGCAGCGAUAGGGAGGAAGGGCUGGGCUUGGGCAUUGUGGAUCCAGGCCAGGAGGUUCCCGCAGAAGAAUGGUAACAGGGUUGCUCCGCCCGGGCUAGCCCAUUCCCUCUCCCAGCCGAGGGGCCCCAGGGACGUGCCAGGCACGCACCUGCAAGGGGCGCCUGGGUUCCAUGGCUGCGGCUUUUCCCUGGCCUAAGCGCUCCAAUUGGUGUCUUCAGGGGCCCAGCCCCUUGGCUUCCUCCUGGUACCCCAAGCCAGAGAGAAGGAAAGGUCCCGAAAUACCUGGCUAGGCGUGCCAGACAUUAGGGAUGCGCUCGCUGGCUUGGAGAACCAGGAUCUACAUCUUGGGAGAAAUGUCGGGAUUCUGUCGGUUAUGGUUUUGGGGACAAGGGUGGAGAGAUUUGGGGUGGUGACUGGUCUCUAUAAUGUCCAGCCCCAGGUAGGGGAUGAAGACGUUGAUACAAAAAAGGGUGCGUCCUAUCCGGGCGACGGGAAACUGGCGUCGAAUGUUCCUGCUACCCACUGAGCUCUGGAAUGUAACUGACAGGCUGCUGUGGUUUCAAGGACUCGCCCGAAGCACACAGGGGGCCAGUGCCCUGCCCUGU
rnacentral:lncRNA from 1 species